rnacentral:pre_miRNA from 1 species
UCUUAUGGAUGAGCAGAAAAAUGGUUUCUUAAGAUAGAAUCUACCUCUGCUAAAGGUGCUGUAAA